UGCAAGUCGAACGAUGGACUUUUUGUGCUGUGCACAGAAUGAUUAGUGGCGAACGGGUGAGUAACACGUGAGUAACCUGCCCUUGACUUCGGGAUAAGCCUGGGAAACUGGGUCUAAUACCGGAUAUGCACCGUGGACCGCAUGGUUCUUGGUGGAAAGAUUUUUUGGUCAGGGAUGGACUCGCGGCCUAUCAGCUUGUUGGUGAGGUAAUGGCUCACCAAGGCGACGACGGGUAGCCGGCCUGAGAGGGUGACCGGCCACACUGGGACUGAGACACGGCCCAGACUCCUACGGGAGGCAGCAGUGGGGAAUAUUGCACAAUGGGCGAAAGCCUGAUGCAGCGACGCCGCGUGAGGGAUGACGGCCUUCGGGUUGUAAACCUCUUUCAGUAGGGAAGAAGCGAAAGUGACGGUACCUGCAGAAGAAGCGCCGGCUAACUACGUGCCAGCAGCCGCGGUAAUACGUAGGGCGCAAGCGUUAUCCGGAAUUAUUGGGCGUAAAGAGCUCGUAGGCGGUUUGUCGCGUCUAUCGUGAAAGUCCGAGGCUCAACCUCGGAUCUGCGGUGGGUACGGACAGACUAGAGUGAUGUAAGGGAGACUGGAAUUCCUGGUGUAGCGGUGAAAUGCGCAGAUAUCAGGAGGAACACCGAUGGCGAAGGCAGGUCUCUGGGCAUUAACUGACGCUGAGGAGCGAAAGCAUGGGGAGCGAACAGGAUUAGAUACCCUGGUAGUCCAUGCCGUAAACGUUGGGCACUAGGUGUGGGGGACAUUCCACGUUUUCCGCGCCGUAGCUAACGCAUUAAGUGCCCCGCCUGGGGAGUACGGCCGCAAGGCUAA
rnacentral:rRNA from 1 species